CUUUGGGGUGUGACUGCGUACCUUUUGUAUAAUGGGUCAGCGACUUAUAUUCUGUAGCAAGGUUAACCGUAUAGGGGAGCCGGAGGGAAACCGAGUCUUAAUUGGGCGUUAAGUUGCAGGGUAUAGACCCGAAACCCGGUGAUCUAGCCAUGGGCAGGUUGAAGGUUGGGUAACACUAACUGGAGGACCGAACCGACUAAUGUUGAAAAAUUAGCGGAUGACCUGUGGCUGGGGGUGAAAGGCCAAUCAAACCGGGAGAUAGCUGGUUCUCCCCGAAAGCUAUUUAGGUAGCGCCUCGUGAAUUCAUCUCCGGGGGUAGAGCACUGUUUCGGCUAGGGGGCCAUCCCGGCUUACCAACCCGAUGCAAACUGCGAAUACCGGAGAAUGUUAUCACGGGAGACACACGGCGGGUGCUAACGUCCGUCGUGAAGAGGGAAACAACCCAGACCGCCAGCUAAGGUCCCAAAGUCAUGGUUAAGUGGGAAACGAUGUGGGAAGGCCCAGACAGCCAGGAUGUUGGCUUAGAAGCAGCCAUCAUUUAAAGAAAGCGUAAUAGCUCACUGGUCGAGUCGGCCUGCGCGGAAGAUGUAACGGGGCUAAACCAUGCACCGAAGCUGCGGCAGCGACACUGUGUGUUGUUGGGUAGGGGAGCGUUCUGUAAGCCUGUGAAGGUGUGUCGUGAGGCAUGCUGGAGGUAUCAGAAGUGCGAAUGCUGACAUAAGUAACGAUAAAGCGGGUGAAAAGCCCGCUCGCCGGAAGACCAAGGGUUCCUGUCCAACGUUAAUCGGGGCAGGGUGAGUCGACCCCUAAGGCGAGGCCGAAAGGCGUAGUCGAUGGGAAACGGGUUAAUAUUCCCGUACUUGGUGUUACUGCGAAGGGGGGACGGAGAAGGCUAUGUUGGCCGGGCGACGGUUGUCCCGGUUUAAGCGUGUAGGUGUGUGUUCCAGGUAAAUCCGGUUCACUUUAACACUGAGGCGUGACGACGAGGCACUACGGUGCUGAAGCAACAAAUGCCCUGCUUCCAGGAAAAGCCUCUAAGCAUCAGGUAACAUCAAAUCGUACCCCAAACCGACACAGGUGGUCAGGUAGAGAAUACCAAGGCGCUUGAGAGAACUCGGGUGAAGGAACUAGGCAAAAUGGUGCCGUAACUUCGGGAGAAGGCACGCUGACACGUAGGUGAAGUGAUUUACUCAUGGAGCUGAAGUCAGUCGAAGAUACCAGCUGGCUGCAACUGUUUAUUAAAAACACAGCACUGUGCAAACACGAAAGUGGACGUAUACGGUGUGACGCCUGCCCGGUGCCGGAAGGUUAAUUGAUGGGGUCAGCGCAAGCGAAGCUCCUGAUCGAAGCCCCGGUAAACGGCGGCCGUAACUAUAACGGUCCUAAGGUAGCGAAAUUCCUUGUCGGGUAAGUUCCGACCUGCACGAAUGGCGUAAUGAUGGCCAGGCUGUCUCCACCCGAGACUCAGUGAAAUUGAACUCGCUGUGAAGAUGCAGUGUACCCGCGGCAAGACGGAAAGACCCCGUGAACCUUUACUAUAGCUUGACACUGAACAUUGAGCCUUGAUGUGUAG
rnacentral:rRNA from 1 species